CCAACGGCUCUUUUAAGAGCCACACACAACCGCUGACAGAGCAACU
rnacentral:ncRNA from 1 species